GGGGCACGAACCGGAUUAGAUACCCGGGUAGUCCCAGCUGUAAACGAUGCUCGUUAGGUGUCAGGAACGGUGCGACUGUUUCUGGUGCCGAAGGGAAGCCGUGAAACGAGCCACCUGGGAAGUACGGCCGCAAGGCUGAAACUUAAAGGAAUUGGCGGGGGAGCACUACAACGGGUGGAGCCUGCGGUUUAAUUGGACUCAACGCCGGAAAACUCACCGGGGGCGACAGCAAUAUGUAGGUCAGGUUAAAGGUCUUACCUGAAUCGCUGAGAGGAGGUGCAUGGCCGUCGUCAGUUCGUACUGUGAAGCAUCCUGUUAAGUCAGGCAACGAGCAAGACCCGUGCCCACUGUUACCAGCAUAUCCUUUAUGGAUGAUGGGGACUCUGUGGGGACCGCUGCUGCUAAAGCAGAGGAAGGUGCGGGCUACGGUAGGUCAGUAUGCCCCGAAUCUCCCGGGCUACACGCGGGCUACAAUGGUUGGGACAAUGGCUAUCUACUCCGAAAGGAGUUGGCAUCUCUUAAACCCAAUCGUAGUUCGAAUUGAGGGCUGUAACUCGCCCUCAUGAAGCUGGAAUCCGUAGUAAUCGCGUUUCAACAUAGC
rnacentral:rRNA from 1 species